ensembl:antisense Gm16180 predicted gene 16180
AGAAAACGCAGCAGAGGUGAUGAACAAGGCCUGAUUCGAAGUCUGAACAUAAUCGUCGCCCUAUCUAUGAGGCAAUCGGCUCAGCGGGAUUACUGAGGGUUGAGUAAGAUGUCAAGUGCAGAGGAAAGAGCAGCCGACCCCAGCUCAGUGCCCCUGAGCCUCAGCACGGAAGUUCUUCAGGAAGUGACUGACAGGGGGAAAAAAACAUCACAUCAGAAUGAAUGUAUUGGUUUUGUGUUUACCCACCUCCCUGGCUGAUUCCCCUUCCUUGGCCUGUCCUCCAGACUACCAAUUAAAGUCUAAUUCCUUUUUA